ACGUGAAGUUCCCGUUUAGGUGAUAAGAAACUCUUCUUCAAAGUCAACAAACAUAACCACAAACUUCAUUUAAGUGAGAUAAGUUUCUGUUUUAUGAAAAGGUAGAAAUAUUGUUCCUUGUUCGACGUAAUUUGUCGACUUUGCGUCUAGAAGACAAUGAAAGUGAACGGAAUUAGAAUCGAGACGAUCCCUGAAGGAAAUUGUGUAUUCAGAUAAUUUCUAUUCAGUGCAUAAGACAGACACGGAAAAGAUACAGAAGAUCGGAAAUUUUUACAGACGUAAUUUAUCGAAUUUGAAGAUUACAUAACAGGCGAUGAAGCAAGUAACUCAUCGAUUGAAUCCCUUGAAUAUUUUGGGUGUCACAUGAGAAAAAAUGCGAUGACCCAAGAGCAGAAGUUCCAAAUACGUUCUUCCUCUGCUAACGUAGGAAUGAGCAUAAAUUUUCACGGUUCACAUCAAGUUGUCACUAUGAAUAAAUAAUACGGAUCACACAGGCAUCUCAGCGAUCGCUUAACGACUCUCUUAUCAAAGUCAAUUCGCCGUUUGUCAGCGUCAGUGGAGGCGAAAGAAAUGUCAACAGAAAUUCGGCUUCGGACACAUGUUUCACAGCAAACCUUGCAGCCAAACAAAUUGGUCCGUCCAAACCGCACGACGGUAGCAAGUCGACUGUUUAUCGGCUUGCUCGAUAAUCACUGCUGUCCAGCUGUGGCGACUCUCUCCCAUGGCAAUUCUAUGGCUGGACGGAACCGUGCUAGUUAUUCACGAGCCAACAGUUAUCACUGUCCUCAAGUGAUAAUCCCAGAUGCCAGGAGAAGAUAAAACGUUUGCACAGAAUCUCCGCGGUUCGUCACGCGAGAAUACGCAAAUUCCCACGUGACUGCACCAGUGGCGCAGUUUCAUAAAAAUUUCUGACGAAUUAUUCUGAAUCACGGACCACCGCGUUGAUACUGGCCUUUUUGCUUUCAAAGAGAAUAAUAAUGACGAAUACUGAUCUUGAAGUUUGCAACCACACGGCAUCAAACAGGUCGAAGUCUUAAUGAAGUAAACCUACGUGAGCUUCGUCAGAGUGGGGUACUCUUGCCUGAACCACCGCAAUUUCCGCACGUAUAACUGCGACCACCCCCAGAAUAUGACAUCGGAGGAGAUGGUGUGAACAUGUAGUUAUAGGACGAUGACGAAGUGCUGCGACGGCCGCAAGUUCUACUGUUGUGACCUGAGAUGAGAAGACAAAAUACAUAUUAAUUCUCAUCAUCUUAACUUCUGAUCAUAAUCUCUACUGUUAACAUCAUAGAUCCAAUGAUAGUCACUGAAAAUGGUCUCAAUAAUGUACCUUCAC